rnacentral:rRNA from 1 species
UACGUAGGGGACAAGCGUUAUCCGGAUUUACUGGGCGUAAAGCGCCCGUAGGCGGCUUGUUAAGUUGGACGUGAAAGCUCCCGGCUUAACUGGGAGAGGCCGUUCAAAACUGACAGGCUAGAGUGAGGAAGAGGAGAGCGGAAUUCCCGGUGUAGUGGUGGAAUGCGUAGAUAUCGGGAGGAACACCGAUGGCGAAGGCAGCCUCCUGGGCCAAUACUGACGCUCAUGCACGAAAGCGUGGGGAGCAAACAGG